UACAGAGGUCUCAAGCGUUGUUCGGAUUCAUUGGGCGUAAAGGGCGCGUAGGCGGCGGGGUAAGUCGGGUGUGAAAUCUCAGGGCUCAACCCUGAAACUGCACUCGAUACUGCUCUGCUUGAGGACUGGAGAGGAGACUGGAAUUCAUGGUGUAGCAGUGAAAUGCGUAGAGAUCAUGAGGAAGACCAGUGGCGAAGGCGGGUCUCUGGACAGUUCCUGACACUGAGGCACGAAGGCCAGGGGAGCAAACGGG
rnacentral:rRNA from 1 species